rnacentral:rRNA from 1 species
UGAAGCGGCAACAGCUCAAAUUUGAAAUCUGGCGUCUUCGGCGUCCGAGUUGUAAUUUGCAGAGGGCGCUUUGGCAUUGGCAGCGGUCCAAGUUCCUUGGAACAGGACGUCACAGAGGGUGAGAAUCCCGUACGUGGUCGCUAGCCUUUACCGUGUAAAGCCCCUUCGACGAGUCGAGUUGUUUGGGAAUGCAGCUCUAAAUGGGAGGUAAAUUUCUUCUAAAGCUAAAUACUGGCCAGAGACCGAUAGCGCACAAGUAGAGUGAUCGAAAGAUGAAAAGCACUUUGGAAAGAGAGUUAAAAAGCACGUGAAAUUGUUGAAAGGGAAGCGCUUGCAGCCAGACUUGCCUGUAGUUGCUCAUCCGGGUUUCUACCCGGUGCACUCUUCUAUAGGCAGGCCAGCAUCAGUUUGGGCGGUUGGAUAAAGGUCUCUGUCAUGUACCUCCUUUCGGGGAGAACUUAUAGGGGAGACGACAUGCAACCAGCCCGGACUGAGGUCCGCGCAUCUGCUAGGAUGCUGGCGUAAUGGCUGUAAGCGGCCCGUCUUGAAACACGGACCAAGGAGUCUAACAUCUAUGCGAGUGUUUGGGUGUCAAGCCCGAACGCGUAAUGAAAGUGAACGGAGGUGGGAACCUUUCGGGGUGCACCAUCGACCGAUCCUGAUGUCUUCGGAUGGAUUUGAGUAAGAGCAUAGCUGUUGGGACCCGAAAGAUGGUGAACUAUGCUUGAAUAGGGUGAAGCCAGAGGAAACUCUGGUGGAGGCUCGCAGCGGUUCUGACGUGCAAAUUGAUCGU